GACGAACGCUGGCGGCGUGCUUAACACAUGCAAGUCGAACGGAAAGGCCCUGCUUUUGUGGGGUGCUCGAGUGGCGAACGGGUGAGUAACACGUGAGUAACCUGCCCUUGACUUUGGGAUAACUUCAGGAAACUGGGGCUAAUACCGGAUAGGAGCUCCUGCUGCAUGGUGGGGGUUGGAAAGUUUCGGCGGUUGGGGAUGGACUCUCGGCUUAUCAGCUUGUUGGUGGGGUAGUGGCUUACCAAGGCUUUGACGGGUAGCCGGCCUGAGAGGGUUACCGGCCACAUUGGGCCUGAGAUACGGCCCAGACUCCUACGGGAGGCAGCAGUGGGGAAUAUUGCACAAUGGGCGGAAGCCUGAUGCAGCAACGCCGCGUGCGGGAUGACGGCCUUCGGGUUGUAAACCGCUUUCGCCUGUGACGAAGCGUGAGUGACGGUAAUGGGUAAAGAAGCACCGGCUAACUACGUG
rnacentral:rRNA from 1 species